AGGAUGAACGCUGGCGGCGUGCUUAACACAUGCAAGUCGAACGAUGAACCUCACUUGUGGGGGGAUUAGUGGCGAACGGGUGAGUAACACGUGAGUAACCUGCCCUUAACUCUGGGAUAAGCCUUGGAAAACGGGGUCUAAUACCGGAUAUUUACGAUUGAUCGCAUGGUUGGUUGUGGAAAGAUUUAUUGGUUUUGGAUGGACUCGCGGCCUAUCAGCUUGUUGGUGAGGUAAUGGCUUACCAAGGCGACGACGGGUA
rnacentral:rRNA from 1 species